UGAACUCUUUGAAAAAACCCAAUGAGGAUUGAAAAAUUGACACACCUGAAAGCUAGUGUUUGGGAAGACAACAACCCAGGGCUGUUCUGUUUCUGACUCAAGAUAUUGGAGCAAGCUAUGCCUCUCCAUGGAGAUGAGGAAGCCUGCAGCCCCCGAAGGUCACGGAUGCUGUUGGAGCCACGAGGAAGAGCCAUCAGCCCAGGGAGACCCUGAGGGUCAGGGCAUCUCCAUGGAUGAACUCCGUGUACUGCUGGACUCAUCCAACCCUUCGUGGACAUCACUUUGUAGUGAAAAUCCCUUUUGUUGUUGAAGAAAGCCUGAGUUGGGUGAUUUAUUACUCAUAAAGUAUGUUAAUACCUUGAUGCUAAUAUUCUCAUGAGAGAAUUAUACUCUAGUCUUAUGAUAGCACUAAAAGUAACUUAAAGGCCCCACGCUUCUCCAGAUAAAACCAACACUUGUGAAACCCUUGCUUUGCCGUUUACUAUCUAUGUUCCUGGACAAACUAUUAAAUGUGCCGAGUCUACACCUCCACCUCAGUUUAGGAUCAAUAAUCUAUAUCUUUUCUUUUUCAGUUUCAAUACAUAAAAAUAAGUGCCAUGAGUAGUUCUUGUAACUGAAUAGGCACUUAAAAGUGAAAUUAGGCUCUUCAUUUCUCCUGCUUUCUUAUCGUACAUCUUUAUGAUACUUUAAUUUGAGCUACAACCCCUGAGAUCUUCUUGAGAGUUAAUCACUGCUGAGAGACAAUACAGAGACAGGACAAUAGACAGAUCGCAUGUGACGACAGAGCUCUGACCCACAACCUCUGCAGCAAUUGCUCCCCAACAAUGGGGACUUAGUGAAUAACUGCUACCUGCCCUAUUUAUGCCCCCAACUCAGGAACAGCAGGUCAAUCCAAUAUGCUUCUCUAAUACCCACAUAGUUCUCAUUCUUUUAUUUUUAAUGUUUAUUUUGAUCUACAAUUAAAAUAACAGCUAACAAUCAUAGGUAUGCAUCCUUCAAUGCUUCCAACUUAUAAUCAUUCUUGUAUUAAGAAUUUUACUCUUUCAUUUUCCUGUGGUUGUUUUUUUCCCCUCAGGUUCUGCAAACACAUUUGUUGCCUAAAAUUGCACCUCUGAGAAAUUCCAGCACACUGGCAUAGUGUUCUGGACUCUCGCUGUGGUAUUACUGCCAGCACUAUGCUUCCUUAUUAAAAAAUGUAGAGGCUCACUUGCAGCAAGCUUGAUAGCAGGAUGAUAAAAUGGCAGGGUAUUUUUAAACACAGAUUUUAUGAGAUGUAUUACAUGGAAUUAAAUUUAGACCAUAUAUCAAGGAAAUCACCAUAGAGCUUUGAGCGUGAUUCAGAUCAUCCUGGCAUUAGUUGGACCACUCUGUUGGCUCAACAAUGUCAUUGCCUGAGUGGGAAAUAAAUGGCCAAGUCUAUGGGGGCACUAUCGGGUUGGCUUGCUGGUCACAGCAUCCUCCCCCCACAAGAUGUCUCAUCUGGAAGGGUAUGUAGGGCAGCAAUUGGUGGAAAUACACAGCAGAAGAAGAUUGUGACUCUUUCUCCAACACACCCCCUCCUCCUCAGUACACAACCUCUGCUCCCAAUGAUGGUACAAACAUCAGGGAUUUGACAGUACACACUCAAGAAACUGUUUUUUGGUGGUGUGUUUGUUUUUCUUUUUUCUUUUUUAGUUUGUUUUUGGUAGGAUCUAUCUAAAUGUAAGGUUAUUUUGAUGGUUAAUAUUGAAUGUCAACUUGAUUGAAGGAUGCAAAGUAUUGUUCCUGGAUGUGUCUGUGAGGGUGUUACUGAAGGAGAUUAACAUUUGAGUCGGUGAACUGGGAGAGGCAGACCCACCCUCAGUCUGGGUGGGCACCAUCUAAUCAGCUGCUAGGGCUGCUACAAUAAAAGCAGGCAGAAGAACAUGAAGGACUAGACCAGUUGAUUCUUCUGGCCUCCAUCUUUCUCCCAUGCUGGUUGCUUCCUGCCCUUGAGUAUUAAACUCCAAGUUCUUCACCUUUGGGACUCUUGGACAUUUGACCACACACUGAAGGCUGCACCGUCGGCUUCCCAACUUUUGAGGUUUUGGGACUUGGACCGGCUUUCUUGCUUCUUUGCUUGCAGACAGCCUAUUGUAAGACUUCACCUUGUGAUCGUGUGAGUCAGAACUCCUUAAUGAACUCUUCCUCAUGUAUACAGCUAUCCUAUUAGUUCUGUGCCUCCAGAGAACCCUGACUAAUACAGUUACACUCCCGGUCCGCAUUUGGGAUUCUGUAUGUAAACCUCAGAAUAAAUUCAACAAAAUUUGUCGAAUUUUCCCUUUGGUGACUUCACAUCUUUGCAAAGAGGGGGUUUUGGUGGUUGCUGUGAUAAAACUAUGUAUAACAAAAUCAAUGUGCAUCAAGAAAUAAGGAUCAAGAAGUCAUGCAAUGCCCACAGGUGAACAUCUCCCAUUAUUGAAUAAUUACAACUACUUAACAAUAAAACUGAAUAUUAGUUUUCUUUCAACCUAUGUUAUGUGUAUGAUUUUUUCAAGGAUGCCCUAAGUGGUUAGGAUAGAAAUACUUAAAUUUUUUUUGGACUUAGCGACUUAAUAAAUGUAAGCAGUCAUAUAGUUAUUUUGGAGCACUGUGGAAAUAUUGCUGCAAUAGUAAAGCCACUGCGGGAACUAAAAAAGCUUGUGAAUCUGUCCCUAUUUAAUUAGACCAGGAAUUUGGGCUUAAGACAUUGGUGACUCUUCUGACCAGCAUCUACAGAGGGUCAGCUAUGAGAUCCCAGUCCACCGAGGAAGCAGGCUGGUAAAACCAAUCCACCACUCUCAAUGGGAUAGUCAGUGUGAAACACAGAAGACCCAGUAGUAGAAUGGCUCUGGCUAGACAGGAGUCAAAAAUCAUGGUGGAGAAACUAGGAGGCUGUGUAUGUUUGGAUUGAAACCCUGCAUACCUGACACCUUCAGGUCUGAGUGCCACCAAGAGGGAGCUGGCCACUCCACCCUGGAACGGGCCAGUCAGAAGAGGUGAAGACACUGAGGAAAGCUGACUCCUUGAAGCAGCCCACUCAGGUUGCUUCGUUAGAACUGUCUUUUAGUCUGAGUGCAAAUGAGCAAUGCCCCAGUUCCAGCCCUUGAAAAUGUUUUCUUAUGUUUCUUUCUAAGUCUUAGCAUCCUUAUUCUACCUUCCCCAACAGGCACAUCUGCUGUAGUCUGUGUGAUUUUUACCUUUGCAUUCAAAAGAGAAUAAUUGGCUUAUUAGCAUCUGUUAUGUGCUGUUUGUCUCAUUAUUUGUUUUAUGUGUACUUUUAAUUACCCAAAUAUUACUUUAUGUUGGCCAGUAGCCCUAUUUUAUAGAAAAUUCACAAUAGAAGGCACAUACAAGGUUUCCUUUAUUGCAUAAGAUGAUAACAUAUGGCAGGUUGUAUAUUUUUUGAACCAUGCAAAUUCUGUCUCCUUAUUUUAAACAUAAGAAAGAAAUGAAUUCUAUUAAAAGUAAAAUGAGAAAGCCAAGAUCAUAUAUAGUGAGCCAUAUCAUCAUAAUUUAGGCUUACUCUUUUGAUGGUGAACACUGAUGUUCCAUUCUACCGUGAGGGUAAAAAUGCUGACUGAGUUAUCCCAAUUGGAGCCUGCAUAAUUUUCAGCAACUCCAGCUCCUUGACAAAAUGUAACUCAUCAUGUAUGUUAGUUUAGUAUUUAUUCCAUGUGUCUUAACAGCCCAAUAAGACUUCAUGCUAUAAAUUACCUUUUUAGUUGUAAAACAAAUCAAGAUAUUCAUCAUAAGAGAUAUUUUCUCAGCAUGGUUCCUGAAGGGUUAACUGCUAAACUAUGUCUUCAGACCCAAGGAGAUGUACCAAAGAAAGUAUCAGCUAAGUAGCCUGUAUUUUAUACAUUUAUCAACUUUUAAUGAUUCUCUGUUAUUUAAAAAAUAUGUAUUUUAGAAAAUAUCAGUUUCAAGGGUAGUGAAAUGACCACUGAUGUCGUCAUCCAGAUCUUUUGGCCAGGUUACUUAUCAUCGGCUUCAUUUGGUCUUUAUGGAGUCUCUGUAUCCUUAAGGGAGGUUAUUUUUCUUUAGAAAAUUCAUUGUCUGCUUGUAGAAUGCAUGAUCUGUUUUAUUGUUGAAGCCAGGUAUUCACGGACCCGACAUCAUUAGUGAUUAAUGAUAGUCAGCUCUGAGAACGCUGGUUUUACUUAUUUGGUUCUUAUGCUGUUUGUGUAAUUCCAAUUGUGUGUCCUGAGGGAGUGGGAUGUGAAGUCUGUCUGGACACUUAUGAAGACAUAAAUAGAUACAUAUGUUCCUGCAGAAAGGUUUUCAUUUAUGUUGGCUUAGGUAUAUAUAUACACACAUAUAUAUAUAUACAUAUAUAUAUAUAUAUAUAUAUAUACACACACAUAUAUAUAUAUAUAUACAUAUAUAUAUAUAAGACAUCCAUCUACUAUCUCAUCUAUUCACAGGAAUAUUCUGUAAUAUAUCUUUCUCACAUAGGCAGCUGCACUUAUGUGUUUUCAUUCUGUGAAUAUAUUGCUUAAUUCUUUAAGAUGUCACAGGUUUUUGCAUUGUCAGAAUACUACAAGACUCAUGCAAUUUACAUCACAUCUAAGAAACGCAUUUUCCAACAUGCACUCGAGAUGAAUUUGUAGCUCAGCUUGUGGCAGUGUACACACUAAUCAUGCCCCUCCUCUUCAGGUCAGUUCCGCAUGGUGCAGAGGGUCACUACUUAUAGUAUGUUACCAUAGGUUUGUCACAUUUUCUCCUUUAUUGAUUUAUUUAUUUUACUUCUGAAAAGACUAGCCUAAAAUGAAAACUUGCUGAUAAUUUAAAUAUAGUACGUGCUGGAUGGUCACUUAGGAGGAUAGUAGCUUUUCAAGCAAAACAUUUAUAUUAAUUUACAGUUUCAAUGACAUGAUUUAUUUGAAAAGCAUCUGUAGAAUGCCUUCUUUGUGCAAAGCAGCAUGGAAGUGUGGCUUAGAAAAGGAACAAAACCUAAAACUUGCUCUCAAGAGCUAUUAUAAUUCAUUGGGAAAAUUUACAGAUUUUAAGUAUAUAUGUAUAUAUAUAUACACCCUCUCCCACACAUACAUAUAGUAUAUAUACUGCACUAGUAUAGUCUUUUUUUUUUUUAAGUUUUAGGGUACAUGUGCACAAUGUGCAGGUUAGUUGCAUAUGUAUACAUGUGCCAUGUUGGUGUGCUGCACCCAUUAACUCAUCAUUUAGCAUUAGGUAUAUCUCCUAAUGCUAUCCCUCCCCCCUCCCACCACCCCACAACCGUCCCCGGUGCAUGAUGUUCCCCUUCCUGUGUCCAUGUGUUCUCAUUGUUCAAUUCCCACCUAUGAGUGAGAACAUGCGGUGUUUGGUUUUUUGUCCUUGUGAUAGUUUGCUGAGAAUGAUGGUUUCCAGCUUCAUCCAUGUCCCUACAAAGGACAUGAACUCAUGAUUUUUUAUGGCUGAAUAGUAUUCCUUGUUGUAUAUGUGCCACAUUUUCUUAAUCCAGACUAUCAUUGUUGGACAUUUGGGUUGGUUCCAAGUCUUUGUUAUUGUAAAUAGUGCCACAAUAAACAUACGUGUGCAUAUGUCCUUAUAGCAGCAUGAUUUAUAAUCUUUUGGGUAUAUAUCCAGUAAUGGGAUGGCUGGAUCAAAUGGUAUUUCUACUUCUAGAUCCCUGAGGAAUCGCCACACUGACUUCCACAAUGGUUGAACUAGUUUACAGUCCCACCAACAGUGUAAAAGUGUUCCUAUUUCUCCACAUCCUCUCUAGCCCCUGUUGUUUCCUGACUUUUCAAUGAUCGCCAUUCUAACUGGUGUGAGAUGGUAUCUCAUUGUCGUUUUGAUUUCCAUUUCACUGAUGGCCAGUGAUGAUGAGCAUUUUUUCAUGCGUUUUUUGGCUGCAUAAAUGUCUUCUUUUGAGAAGUGUCUGUUCAUAUCCUCCGCCCACUUUUUGAUGGGGAUGUUUGUUUUUUUCUUGUAAAUUUGUUUGAGUUCAUUGUAGAUUCUGGAUAUUAGCCCUUUGUCAGAUGAGUAGGUUGCAAAAAUUUUCUCCCAUUCUGUAGGUUGCCUGUUCACUCUGAUGGUUUCUUUUGCUGUGCAGAAGCUCUUUAGUUUAAUUAGAUCCCAUUUGUCAAUUUUGGCUUUUAUUGCCAUGCUUUUGGUGUUUAAGACAUGAAGUCCCUGCCCAUGCCUAUGUCCUGAAUGGCAUUGCCUAGGUUUUCUUCUAGGGUUUUUAUGGUUUUAGGUCUAACAUGUAAGUCUUUAAUCCAUCUUGAAUUAAUUUUUGUGUAAGGUGUAAGGAAGGGAUCCAGUUUCAGCUUUCUACAUAUGGCUAGCCAGUUUUCCCAGCACCUUAUGCUAUGAUAAGGAUGUUGAUUUUAAAAGUGGAUAGUAUUUUUUAUAGUUUUUAAGACUAUAUUAGUGUAGUAUAUAGUCUUAAAAAACUAUAAAAAAUACUAUCCACUUUUAAAAACACCAUCCUUAUCAUAGCAUAAGUAUUUGAACAUUUCUUCAUAAUCAUUAUCUUGAAUAAGAGCAUAACUUAUUUUUCCAGAGGGUCUUUUCAAUUUCUUCUUUUUCUUACUCUUAUUCAUAUUGAUAAUUUAUAUCAUUUCGUACUUUUACAUAGCUUGUUUUCAAAAACAUAGUCUUGCAUGAAGUUUUCUCUUUCUCUCUUCCCUUCCCUCCUUCCUUCCCUCCCUCCCUGUCUCUCUUUCUUUUUUUCUUUUUCUUUCUUUCUUCCUUUCCCUCUUUCUCUCUUUCUUUCUUUCUUUGUCUCUCUCUCUCUCUCUUUCUUUCUUUCUUCCUUUUUUUUUAAAAGUGUCUCUCUCUGUUACCCAGGCUGGAGUGCAGCAGCAGGAUCAUAGCUGACUGUAUUCUUGACCUCCCCAGGCUCAGUUGAUCCUCCCAUCUCAGCCUCACAAAUAGUUGGAUCUACAGUUAUGUUCACCACUUCUGGCUAAUUAUUCUUUUUUUUUUUUUUUUUUUUUUUUUUUUUUUUUUUUUUUUUUUUGUAGAGACGAGGUCUCACCAUGUUGCCCCAAGCUGGUCUUGAA
rnacentral:lncRNA from 1 species